CUUCAGUUCUUAACGGCUGCCAUAGUUCCCAUCUUUUGAACUCAGAAGAAAGUAGAACUUGAUGAUUUCAAUGGUGAAUCAAUCAUGGACUGAGAGUAUUCGAAGCAAUAGAAGUUGGACUAUCCUCUCUGGGAAGGAGUUGCAAUGCCUCAAAAAUCAGAACCAACAUAGUACACGAGCGGUGUUUGCUAAAAUGCCUAAAUGAAUUGAUUAGUUUUUAUGCUACUGUAAGGUUGUUGUUGCCGAAUGAGGGGUUUAAUGGGUCCAGGUGGUGUUAAAUGUUGUCAUCAGUUGGAGGACAUGGUCCGGGUAGGAGGCGGAGUUGUGUUUGGCAGAGAGAAUGCUCACUGAGCAUGCAGAUGUCAUAACUUUUGAUGGCGAGGAAUAAGAUUUGAAAGAAAUACUACACAUCUAGAGUUUGCAGAUAUUCCUUUGGGAGAGUUCAUCAAGCACGCCCUAAUGCGUUGUAUGCUAGACGAGCUAGCAAGAAUAUGUAAUACUCUAUUUCGUGCUUUUAUUUUUGUAGAAUAAAUUUCAUUGGGUAAUAAAGUUUUGUCAUCAAAAACGGAAAUCAGUACUAAGAAAUCUAUGAGAAGGUUUAAGUAUGUAAUUCAAGUACCUGAAAAGAGAUGGUUUUAUGAUCCAAUUUCAUUGAAGUUUAUUGGAAUAUAUAGGAAUUCCAUCAAAAAUUAAGGGAGGAUAAUAACUGUAGAGGAGAUCAAUUAGAUUCAUAGUGGUUUACCGUAAUUAUGUUGCUAACCCUGGGAAGAAUGUGACCCUCAAGGAAAAACUUGGGUGACCCUUGAGGAAAAACUAACUUUUUUGUUUUUUAUAUUUUGUUUGAAGCAUUCUGUUUAUGGAUAAGACGUCCGUCAAAAUGAAGACCUAACUCUUCUUUGAUCAAACUUCCAAUGCUUGGACAGUUAAUGGCAUUAGUGUUUAUUUGUGGAUGCUUAUGUAUUGCUGCUCUCGAAGUUGCAGCUGCAAUGGCGAUUCAGACAGCUUGGGUUAGUUGUGAAUCUAAAUUAUGAGUUCUUGAGAUUUCAGUUGAAGACAGAAAUUUGCGGCAGUCAGAUUGGGGAAUGGGGAAUGAUGUUGAUCUAAGUUUGUUGUGCGGUUAGCUAAUUAGCUUUGCAAUCGGUGGACGGUGGUAGAAAUGAGAAUUAGUUGGUCAAUAGACACAGGCGGUGAUGGAUUAAAUUUGCUGGUGGUAAUGGGUUUUAUCUACAUGAGAUUUGCAAGCUAAUUGAAGACAAAUUACUGAUACCGAAGGAAGUAAUGGUUGUGUUGGCUCGAUGGGGUUAAAUGAGUGUUUAGUGUUCAGGAAAGCUUUGAUGAUAGUGGAGAUGUUCAUAGUUACAACAAUAAGUAUGGGGAUCUGAUAUGGGUAUUAUCCGGAGUUAGAAGUGGUGAACCGAUGGUGUUUGGAUGGGAAAUAUUUGCAGGAACUGGUGGUUACUGUGGGUUCUUGGCAUGAGCCGAAAUUGGGUUCAUUUGGAAGGAAUUAGUUGGUUGCAGGAUUCUCAAACUGGUAGUGGUCGUUGGUACAAAUUUUGGGGAUUUUGGCUCAGUGAAGUGGGUUUGAUGUUUGAGAAUUAUCUCAAUAAAUCAGACAGGGGAAGAGGUUUAUUGACGGAGCUGUUGACAUGGGUAUGGCUGAAUGCAGAAAAGGAGAUGUGCGUGAGUCGGAAGAAUACAACAAACUCACCUCCACCAACACAUAUUCACACCCCAUAUAUGUUUGAAGAAACUCCCGAAAAAGUUCUCAUCUACAUCACUGAUCUGCAUAAUACAUUCACCAGGUCUGCAACAAACUUUGUUUGAAGUAUCAAGGAAUGAAAUUAGCAGCGUCAGUGGAAGGGAGUCCUUAUAUGGUUAGUGUAAUUAAUUAAUAAGUGCUUAAACUUAUUUGAUCAGGUGCAGUGGCAGUGUACAAUGAUUUAAAAUUAUUUUAUUUUGAUUAUAU